rnacentral:lncRNA from 1 species
AAAUAACAAUUGACUUGAUUUUUUUUUAGUUAAAGGGUUGACUGUUGACUGUUGACUGUUGACUGAUCAACUUCUAGUUGGGUCAUACGAGUCGGUUACUGGGUAGGUCAGGUCUUGGGCGAGUCGGCCCAGCUUGAAACCCGUCUGGGUUGUGGGCCACGCACAGGUGAGCCUCUUUUAUUUUCCCUUCUUUCUUUUUUUCUUUUUUUUUUACAAGAGCCCAUAUAAC